UCUGGACUGACCCAAUUGGUCAUCAAAGUAGGCUCUGGAAGAGCAUAAAAAAUGUUUAAGUGUUAAGUACAAAAUGAAACCCAUAUAAAGGCAAAUCGGUUAGAAAAAUAUACCUUAAGUCAAGGGUCAUGAUUUUAAAGUGGUGUGAUGGAAAGCAUAGAGUUUUAAAUCAUAUGUUUUAAGUCACUUAUUGUUUGGGAGACCCUGGGCAAGUGACUUAACUGUUAUGGGUCUCAGUUUCUAUAUAAAAUAGAAAUAAUAUAUUGUGGUCUGUAUGGAAAAUUCUGAGCUUCAAUUUUCCUUUUUUUAAAUGGGGAUAACAAUAUCCCAUCUUACUGGGUUGUUGGGAGAAUUAAAUGAGCUUAUACAUGAAAGCACUUAGCAUUAUGUCUAUUGCAUAAUAAGCAUUAAAUAUGAGUUAGCUAUUACAAUUAAUAGGCUAAUAUAUUUUGUUCACAGUAUGUAUUAUUCUCUGAAAUUAUCUUUUUUUUUGUUUUGUUUUUUUAAGUUCCAUGAGGCAAGAGCUUUAUGCCUGGUUCACCCCUAGAAUUUAGAAUAAGUGCCUGGUACACAGGCACUAUUUUGGCUCUUUUCUCCAAUACAUCACUGCAGUUACUCUUGACCAUCAUGCUACCAAAUCUGAAAGACAACCCAUCCUCUAUUCAGCACCCUGGGUGAAUUCUUUAAAAUUUAAAUCAGAUCUCACUCCCCUGCUUAACACACUUCAAAGGAUAUCUUAGCAUUUAGAAUAAAUCUAAACUCCUUCUCGUGGCUACAUGUCCUGUGUGCUCUGGGCCCUCUGGCCUCAUUAUGUCAGUUUCUAUGUUCCAGUGCCACUGGCUCUGUGUCAGUUCCUAGACCAUGCCAAGCUCUUUCAGCCUCAGGGACUUUGCAUUUGCUGUUCUCUCCAACCUAGAAUACUCCUCUCCAAGUUUCUUACAUGGCUGGCUCCUUUUUUUUUUUAAUCUUCAUUUAUUUUUGAGAGACAGGCAGAGUGUGAGCUGGGGGAGGGGCAGAGAGAGAGGGAGACACAGAAGCAAGCUCCAGGCUCUGGGCUGUCAGCGCAGAGCCCGAUGUGGGGCUUGAACUCACGAACUGUGAGAUCAUGACCUGAGCUGAAGUUAGAUGCUUAACUGACUGAGCUACCCAGGCACCCCUGGCUCCUUCUAAGUAUAGUAGUUAGCAACACAGAUUUUGAAACCAGAGUGCUUAGGUUCCCAUUUUUGCUCUAUCACUUAACACCUGUAUGAGCCAAGAUACUUAAUCUCUAGAUUGUGCCUCAGAUUCUUCAUCUUUAAAAACAGAGAUAAAAUAUGUACCUCAUUAGGUUGCUGAAUGUAAAGAGUUAAUAUAAGGUGCUUUGAACAGUGCCUAGCAAGCACCACCAUGACCACCAUCUUUCAGCUUAAAUACUGCCUCCUCAGAGACCCUGUUCUUUAUCAGAACACCUAGUACUCAUCACAAUCUGACAAUAUAUUUUUUUGUUGUUUACUGUUUGUACUCCACAAGCAGGGAAUUUGUCUUACUUAACUACUGUAUGCUCAGAACCUAGCACAAUGCCUGAUACAGGUACUCGGUAAGUAUAUGCUGAAUGAUUACAAAAGUAGUUAUAGUAUUAUUAAUAUUUUCUUGCCACCUGUAAGAAAGGUCCAGAGCUGUGCCACGGCAGCAAAGAGGAGAGCUGGGAUCUGUACCCGGGUUCCAACCACCCACCUCGGAUGAAUGAUGGUUACAAGGUGUUCUGUAAACAACAACAGGUAUAUCUCUGAUAUUCUCUUCUUCCAGAUGUUAACUCAUCUGUCACAGUUUGCUGACGUUGCAUCUCCUGCUUGAAGCUUCCUCUGCUCAAGCCCACCUUUGGCUUAGCGGAGCUCCCACAGCACUCAGUAUUCAUUUCUUGGCUGAGUCUUAUUUUUAAUGUUUCUGCACUGUUUCUUCCACAUAUCAUCUUAACUGAUGAUGCCCUGCUCUUAACUCAUUUGCACUUCCUCACUGUUCCUGAGCACCUCGUGCACCUCUGGGCCCCCAGAAUGUGCUCAGCACAAAUUUGGAGAGUGACCACUGCUGCCGCCUUUUCAGGAAUCUGGCCUGGGGCAGCUUUGCAUUGUGCCCAUGCUUUCAUGGAAGAGAUGAGGACUCUAGGAGAGGGGGGUCAGCCAGCUGUUCUCUUACCUGAUCUGUUGUGGCCGGCGGUGGCAAAGCUGUAGAGAGUGAAAGGAUCCGCAGGGAGGCCUCCAACUGCUGAGGAGGCAAAAAGAAGUUGGGCACCACAAUGGGUUCCGGGCUAUAAUGGUAGUUAAGGGGCACAGAUACAUUGAAAUCUGCUCCCCUUGCCAGACUGGCAUCUCCACUGGCCUUAGUCAUCCCUACUUGUCCAACUUAUUCUUGUACAGUAGUGCCUUCUGUCUGGAAGGCCCUGCCCACCCCUAACAAGUCGCAGUCUAUACUUUCUGCAAGGGUCAGUUAAAAUCCUUCCUCUCCUAAUGUUAGACCUCAGUGAUCCCUCCUUCCCCUCAUUAUUUCCCUAGAGCCCUGCAUGAGGCUGGUACGCAGCAACAUUUAAAUGAUACUUGCUGAGGUCCUGCUGACCCACAACUGACCCGUUAGAAGCCAGUCAGACAGGGUUGGGUUGGAAGGUGGCCCCAAGGACAGUGUCUUAGGCUGGAGGGAGAUGCCUGACACUGAAGGAGGCUGGUCCUCCCAGUUGUCCUCUGCCAACAUCCAGGAAUGAGGGCUCUACAUGAGGGGCUGUCUGUGGAUAUAGCUGGUUCACCCAGUCUGCAUCUGAGCCCUAGAAGUCAAGUACCACAUCUUAUACUUUUCCUGGUACUAGAUGUACCCAGUACUGUGCUGAGAACAUGGUGUUUCCAAAAAUAUUUGUUCAAUCAAAGCACUGAUUCAGUUUGGGAGGGGACUACUUUGACGUUCCAAUUUUUUGUUUCUGUUCAAUAAGCUAAAUAUGGUUCUGGUUCAAAUUGUUUUAUCAUGGUUCUUCCAUGCUAGAAUUUAAGCUCCAAGAGGGCAGAGAUUAUUCAUCUCUUUUUCAGUCAUGUUCCUGUCACCUAGCACAGUGCCUGGGACAUAGUAAGUUUUUAAUAAGUAUCUACUGACUGCAGCGUAUCCUCAAGGCUCCAUUUUGUGUGGGUGGUUCUCCUUUUCCAUGCUCUGCCUGCUCCCCUUAUCUAUUUCCGGAGACACCUACCUUUAUAGCUGGCCUCCUCUUGGAUGUCUUGUAGGCAUAUGUCCAAAAUGGAAAUCUGUACCUUCCUCCAAAACUAUCUGUCUUUAUGUGCUAGUCCCUAUCCAGUCAAUGACAUCACUUACCUAGCAACUUGUAACAGAACUAAGUCUACUUUGUAUUUGUUUUUCUCUUCCUUGCGCCUAAUUCUCUCCCAUCUAUGAUGUAGAUUAGAUUAGCCAGGCAUAAAAGGCUCUUUAAGAUUUAGCCCUGCCUCACCGCUCACCAUCUCAUGUACCCCUGGACUCUAAGCAGAGUGAACUGCUCCCCACAGGUCAGGCUCUUUCACCUGGCUAUGCCUCUGCAUACACAGUUCACUGUAACUAGAAUUUUCUCGUUUGUUUACAGGAUGUCUAUUCAUCUUUGAGGUCCAGCUCCACUGUCUCUCUUCCCGGGAUACAUCCAGUGUUGUGGUAGCUUCCUCCUCUUGCUCCCUAGCAUUUUGUCCAGGUUUCAUCACAACACCUAGAACAAUAAAUUCUAUCACUGCCUGUGUCCUGCCUCAUGAUAGGAACUUCUUAAGGGAGUGAGUAGAUGUAUGAAAAUGGAACAUCUCUACCUGCAAACAGGAACAGGAACCAGGAAGGAACAGUCUGCUGUGUUCUACCAUCAAAUCCAAAUUAAAUGAGAGAAUACAAAGCUGAUCCUUAAUCUGUCAUUAGAAGCCACGACUCUCUCAAAUCACAGUGGAUUUAUGGACUUCAAGCUGUAUUACAAAGCUGUAAUCAUUAAGACAGUAUGGUCCUGGCACAAGAAAAGACACUCAGAUCAAUGGAACAAAAUAGAGAACCCAGAAAUGGACCCACAAAUAUAUGGCCAACUAAUCUUUGACAAAGCAGGAAAGAAUAUUCAAUAGAAUAAAGACAGUCUUUUCAGCAAGUGGUGCUAAGAAAACUGGACAGCGACAUGCAGAAAAAUGAACCUGGAUCACUUUCUCACACCAUACACAAAAAUAAACUCAAAAUGGAUGAAAGACCUAAAUGUAAGACAGGAAGCCAUCAAAAUCCUUGAGGAGAAAGCAGGCAAAACCUCUCUGACCUCGGCUGCAGCAACUUCCUACUCAACAUGUCUCCAGAGGCAAGGGAAACAAAAGCAAAAAUGAACUAUUGAGACCUCAUCAAAAUAAAAAGCUUCUGCACAGCGAAGGAAACAAUCAGCAAAACUAAAAGGCAACCGAAGGAAUGGGAAAAGAUAUUUGCAAAGGACAUAUCAGAUAAAGGGUUAGUAUCUAAAAUCUAUAGGAAACUUAUCAAACUUAACAUCCCAAACCCAAAUAAUCCAGUGAAGAAAUGGGCAAAAGACAUGAAUAGACACUUCUCCAAAGAAGACAUCCAGAUGGCCAACCAACACAUGAAAAAAUGCUCAACAUCACUCAUCACCAGGGAAAUACAAAUCAAAACCACACUGAGAUACCAUUUCACAACCAUCAGAAUGGCUAACAUUAACCUCAGGCAACAACAGAUGUUGGCGAGGAUGCAGAGACAGAGGAUCUCUUUUGCACUGCUGGUGGGAAUGCAAACUGGUGCAGCCACUCUGGAAAACAGUAUGGAGGUUCCUUAAAAAAUUAGAAAUAGAACUACCCUACAACCCAGUAAUUGCACUACUAGGUAUUUAUCCAAGGGAUACAGGUAUGCUGUUUCAAAGGGGCAUAUGCACUCCAAUGUUUAUGGCAGCACUAUCAACAACAGCCAAAUUAUGGAAAGAACCCAAAUGUCCAUCAACAGGUGAAUGGAUAAAGAAGAUGUGUGUAUAUAUAUAAAUACACACACACACACACACACACACACACACACACACACACACACAAUGGAGUAUUACUCAGCAACCAAAAAGAAUGAACUCUUGCCAUUUGCAACUACAUAGAUGGAACUAGAGGGUAUUAUAUAAGCUAAGCGAAAUUAGAGAAAGACAAAUGUCACAUGACUUCACUCAUGUGAGGACUUUAAGAUACAAAACAGAUGAACAUAAGGGAAGGGAAGCAAAAAUAAUAAAAAAACAGGGAGGGGGAGAAACAUAAGAGACUCUUAAAUAUGGAGAACAAACAGAGGGUACUGGAGGGGGGAUGGGCUAAAUGGUUAGGGGGCAUUAGGGAAUCUACUCCCGAAAUCAUUGUUGCACUAUAUGCUAACUAACUUGGAUGUAAAUUAAAAAAAUAAAUAAAAUUAAAAAAUCACAGUGGUUUACUUAGGUGUCUACAUUUGGGUGUCUGCCACCUGCCACUUGUAGCAGGAAAAUGCAAACAAAUGUUAACUGGGUGAAGCUUUAAAGAAAAUGUGCAAACCCAACUGAUCUUGUCAGAGGUUCUGGGUAUAGAACCUACUAAUACUAAGCUGCAAUUUUCUUUCUGUGAAAAAGGUUUAUUAAUAUUUGCUCUGCAGACCUCAUAGGAUUGCUGUGACUCAAAAGAAGCACUGUUUUAGGGCUCUGUGAAUCUAAGGAAGUAAUAAUGCAAAGUCGCUAUUUUGUUUCAUCUCCAUUUUUAGAGAAUUCAUCUACUAGCAGUUUUCAAAACCUGGUUCUAGAUCUAGCAGCAUUAGCAUCAUCUGAGAACUUCUUAGAAAUGCCAAUUCUCAGGCCCUAUCCUAGACCUAUUGAAUUAGGAACUGUAUGGGUGGGUAGAACAAUUGCUGUUUUAACAAGUUGUUCAUGUGAUUCUGACACACACUGACUUUUGAGAACCACUGUUCUAGGGCAGUGGUUUAUAGCCUGGUAAUUUGGCCCCAAGAACACAUUUGGCAAUGUGUGAAGACAUUUUUGGUUGUCACAAUCGGGGCAGGAGAGCUACUAGUAUCUAGUAGAUAGAGGCCAAGGAUGCUGCUAAAUUCUUACAAUGCGUAAGACAGGCCCCCUACAGCAAAAUAUCUGGCCCAAAUGUCAAUAGCGCUGACACUGAGAGAACUGCACGAGAGUUUCUUUUUCUCUUUCUUGGUAGAUUCUAAAAUAUGUUAUGUGAGUGACCCAACAAAAUGCAGCCACACUGUUAAUGGUUUUACUUAAAUAGCCUCCAGUCUCUAGCUGAGAAUCUAAAAUGAGAAUCUGAACAUACCACUUCCUUAUAAUACAAAAAUUUGAACAAUUUCCCAUAGUCUAUAGUAUAACUGUUCAAUUCUUUUUAACCUAUGUUCCACCAAUCAAAAAUAUUUUGCCAAUUCUUUUCUGAGUUUGCUUUAAGAAACCAAAUGAUU